rnacentral:tRNA from 2 species
GCGCUCGUAGCUCAGCUGGAUAGAGCAACGGCCUUCUAAGCCGUAGGUCACAGGUUCGAAUCCUGUCGGGCGUACCA